GCAGACACAUUCCAGCCAAUCAGCAGCAGACCCUCCCUCCCAGACCCUCCCACCUCUUGGUCAGCUCACUAAGAAUGCAGCUUCAAAAUGGAUGCUGUCCAGGAGGUGGGAGGGUCUGGGAGGGAGGGUCUGCUGCUGAUUGGCUGGAAUGUGUCUG
rnacentral:miRNA from 1 species